rnacentral:misc_RNA from 1 species
GAAAUGCGAUAAGUAGUGUGAAUUGCAGAAUUCAGUGAAUCAUCGAAUCUUUGAACGCACAUUGCGCCCCUUGGUAUUCCAUGGGGCAUGCCUGUCCGAGCGUCAUUUGUACCUUCAAGCUUUGCUUGGUGUUGGGUGUUUGUCUCGCCUCUGCGUGUAGACUCGCCUCAAAACAAUUGGCAGCCGGCGUAUUGAUUUCGGAGCGCAGUACAUCUCGCGCUUUGCACUCAUAACGACGACGUCCAAAAGUACAUUUUUACACUCUUGACCUCGGAUCAGGUAGGGAUACCCGCUGAACUUAAGC